UACGUAGGGUGCAAGCGUUGUCCGGAAUUAUUGGGCGUAAAGAGCUCGUAGGCGGCUUGUCGCGUCGGAUGUGAAAGCCCGGGGCUUAACUUCGGGUCUGCAUUCGAUACGGGCAGGCUAGAGUUCGGUAGGGGAGAUCGGAAUUCCUGGUGUAGCGGUGAAAUGCGCAGAUAUCAGGAGGAACACCGGUGGCGAAGGCGGAUCUCUGGGCCGAUACUGACGCUGAGGAGCGAAAGCGUGGGGAGCGAACAGG
rnacentral:rRNA from 1 species